UUCGAAGCAUGCCGGGAACUGUAGUUCAGCUGCUCCCAUUGCACCAUAGCACUCGCACACACUUCUCCUACAAGCGAGACAACAACUUCCAGAAUGAAUUGCGAGCUGAUGUUGCUGCAUUUUCUUUCCCGUUUCCCCUCACAGAGGAAAGAACGGGGGAUUUUAUUCCUAGAGGGACUUUCCAUAAAGCCCAAAGGGAAAGUUUGGCUGGGAGUGGAGUGUAUCUUCCGUUGCGCUGCAGAGGGUGGAUUUUGGGGAAAGAUAAGUUGUUCCUGAGGCGGUUUCCACGUGGUUUGACCUAGAAAGCUUUAAACAGCUCGGGACUGCAAGACCUCAAGGACCACCCUUCCCCAUAUUAACUGACCCGGACCCUGAAAUCAUCCUCUCAGGUCUUUCUUCACAUGCCUCCUCCAUGAGGGUGACAACACAAGAAUGAGCCUUUUCUGCCAUGGCUCCUGAUGAGUGGAAUGCUCUCCUCAGGGAGGUUCACCUGCCGCCUUCAUUAUACACCUUUAAGGGCUUUAGACGUUCCUCUUUAAUUAGGCCUUUGACAUCCAACGACCUUUUAAAAUAUAUUAGGGUGGGGAAUAUUGGGUUGUUUCUAUUUUUAUUAUGUCUUUUGUGAUUUUAUAUUGUGAUUUUAUGUAUACCUGCCAGUAUAUUAUUCAUCUCUACCCUGGACUGCUUAGGGCAAAUGGGAAUAUUAGAAUGUAAGAAUAUUGAUGUAACAUUAUCUAGAGUCUCUGUAAUAACCUAAUGAACUCAAUUCUGGAGCAUAGGGCUACAAAUACGAAAGCACGGCAGCCUUCCUCAUUGCAAAAUGUCUAGUAAACCUUUCACAUCCGUUCUUGCCAUAUACCUGAGCGGGGAAGCAGAUCAAGAGUUUGGAAUGCAUGGUGCAUGAGGAAAAGCUGGAGCCACUGGCCAUAUUUGGCCAAGGAAGAGAUGAUUAAGACGAUGACAGAAGCUUUCAGAUAUCUAAGAAGCUAAACAAGAAAAGGAAUAACGUCAGUUUUCCAAGCCUAGCAACUAAUUUCUGUGGGAAAUUGUCGUAAUGGAAUCUCAGCUGGUAUCACAAGCAAAAGUUUCAUUUGCACGGCUAUGGGAUUUGUUGUUUUUAAUGUUCCAUAAAGACUCAGCCUUGUCCAUUCAUAUUUUACUCUGAUAGUCUGAUUCUGUGCAUGUUCACUCAAACAUCAAACAUUCUCACUGCUGUUGCAGUUUAUAAGAAUAUUCUUCCUUUUUCCUUUGAAAACUGUGGUCCCAAUAUCCCCGAGAGGAAGGCUUCUAGUUCUUUUGUAAAAGUUUGUUUGAAGAAAAAUUUAUUUCUUUGUAUAUCAUAUCCCAGAAUUUUUUAAUUUUAUUGCAGCCCCACCACAUAUGAAUCAUUGUCCCUUCAGCUUGUUUACACCUCCAGCAUGUAUUUGAGCAUGUUCUGUACAUCUUUGCUAACUUGCUGGGAGUUAUAUACCACCUGUAGAACUUUUCAUAUGAUUUUUCCUAAGUGUAUAACAGGCUGUGAAUUUCCAAUCUGUAUUCUAUAGUCUUUCCUAUGCUGACAUUGGUAUAUUUCCCCCCCAAAUCAAUUGCCCACUUAGUCCUGACUUCUUUGACUUCCUCGUCUUUAACCUCCCAUUCAAGUAGGAGUUUGUACAUUUUGGAGAUUACUGUACUUUUGUCUUACUAUACAGUAUAUUAAUUCUUUUGCCAAUUCUCACACCUGUAUUUUUCUUUAGCUUGUGCGUAAUACUGUGGGGUUUGUUGAGUUUGGAGCAGAGAUGCUGUUGCACAGAAAAACUGGAAUACCUCAAUUGUGCAGCUCUUUUUGUUGUUGUUAAAGUGUUUUCUUGCAAGGAAGUCACACAACUGGUGUCUGUUGGUUUUGCUUUAUUGAGAAAGAGCUUACAAGAGAAUCUGGGGAACGGUGGGUAGCCCUGUACCAUUUCACUAAACACGCCCUGCCCUACAAUGAGGAAUGUGGGGAAUGUGAUGCUUUUCAUUAAAAUGUGGGUGAAGAGUACAGGAGUGAAGCUCUCAAAUCAAGUAGCUCUUGAAGUUUGAACAGCCCUUGUAAAAAUGCCUUGCCAUUGUUUGUGUGGACACAGCCACCAAUCCUACAAAAAAGAAGCCCAAACCUUUGGCGUCGCCUCUUCAAGGAAGGAGCUAUAGCUUCGCAACCCACAAUAACACAUCCUGCCUCCUGCCUGAACCACUGUUAAGAAUCAGAAGGUAUUCCUGUUACUCCUGUUUGCACAGAAAUGGAAUUAUGGUUGGAAGACUGUCGCCACUUCACUGUCCACAACAUGGAGACUGGGCACUGUUGGUCUUAAACCUCCAGAGGCAUAAAAUGCAAGACUCGCUAUGUUUUCUCAGGCAGAAACCAGCCAGACUUUAAGAAUUUAUAGUCAGAGGCUAUUGCACAAUGUAGUGACAGUAAACGACAAAAGAUGAAUUCUUUUUUACCUCACACUCAGACUCAAAAUUAUAAAGCAACACAGGCUGCAUACACACUCUACAUUUAAAGCACAUCACCUCCCCUCAAAGAAUCCUGGGACCUGUAGUUCACUCCCUCAGAACUGCAAUUCCCAGGACCUUUAAACUACAUUUCCUGGUAUUCUGGGGGAAGUCAUGUGUGUUAAGUGCAUUGUGCAUAUGCAGCCACAGAAGGGAAUAUCAACUCUAUCGCUACAAAUAUUACGUUGGCCUGAAAUCCUUUAAACUGUGUGGCCAUCUCGGAUAAAAAGCACACACAUUAAUAGCACACAAUGGGGUGGAAACCUGUGGCACUUGCUGAACUAUUACUCUCAUAAUCCCUGCCCAUUGGGAUUGGGACCAUUGGUGGGAUUUGGAGUCCAGAAAUAUCUGGAGGGCUACAGGUUCCCCGCCAUCUCACAUGACAGACAUAUAGUUUAUAUUCCUCACUAAGCAUUAGGUUGCUCCAGAGCAAGAUCAUGGAGCUGUACAACUAUGCUACAAGUUCCGAAGUGAUGCCACAGUGGGUUUGCCAGCCUUCAUGUCACAUUUGCAGACAUCUUUGGAACUCAGAGUUGGUCUGCCAACAGGCCGGGUGCCAGAAGCCAGCUCCCC